rnacentral:rRNA from 1 species
AUUGAACGCUGGCGGCAUGCUUUACACAUGCAAGUCGAACGGUAACAGGGUGCUUGCACCGCUGACGAGUGCGAACGGGUGAGUAAUGCGUCGGAACGUGCCGAGUAGUGGGGGAUAACGCAGCGAAAGCUGUGCUAAUACCGCAUACGAACUGAGGUUGAAAGUGGGGGACCUUCGGGCCUCACGCUAUUCGAUCGGCCGACGUCUGAUUAGCUAGUUGGUAGGGUAAAGGCCUACCAAGGCGACGAUCAGUAGCGGGUCUGAGAGGAUGAUCCGCCACACUGGGACUGAGACACGGCCCAGACUCCUACGGGAGGCAGCAGUGGGGAAUUUUGGACAAUGGGGGAAACCCUGAUCCAGCCAUGCCGCGUGUCUGAAGAAGGCCUUCGGGUUGUAAAGGACUUUUGUCCGGGAGCAAAUACGCAGUGCUAAUAACGCUGCGGGCUGAGAGUACCGGAAGAAUAAGCACCGGCUAACUACGUGCCAGCAGCCGCGGUAAGAC